rnacentral:rRNA from 1 species
UUAUCUCUGUAGAGUCUGCAUAUCAAUAAGCGGAGGAAAAGAAACUAACUAGGAUUCCCUCAGUAACGGCGAGUGAAGCGGGAAGAGCUCAAAUUUGAAAUCUUCAAGGUUCUACCUUGACGAAUUGUAGUUUAAAGAAGUGUUUUCUGUUGGAGUUUUGGUAAAAGUUCUUUGGAAUAGGACAUCAUAGAGGGUGAGAAUCCCGUAUUUGACCAUUAUUUCCAGCUUUGUGAUACACUUUCAAAGAGUCGGAUUGUUUGGGAAUGCAGUCCAAAAUGGGUGGUAAAUUUCAUCUAAAGCUAAAUAUUGGCGAGAGACCGAUAGCGAACAAGUACCGUGAGGGAAAGAUGAAAAGAACUCUUGAAAAGAGAGUUAAACAGUACGUGAAAUUGUCAAAAGGGAAGCGUUUGACACCAGUGUUGUCUUUCUGAAAAUCAAUUAAAGAACUGUUUAUGCUAAGCUGUUUAGACUUUAUCAGCUAAUCUGUUUAGUUUUGAGCUUUUCUUUAAUGCACUUUUCAGUUAACAAGUCAACAUCAAUUUCUUUUGCUGUAAAAAAGCUUGAGGAAGGUGGCUUGAGAUUCGUCUUAAGUGUUUAUAACCUCUUGCCUAUGCAGUCGGAGAGAUUGAGGUCUGCAGCGUAGAUCCUUCGGGGCUAAAUGCAUUUGUGCUAAGUUAUAGCAUUUUAUAGACAACUUGUUGACUAUGAUUUGUCUUGUAGCUUACUCGCUUAUGUUAUUUUACCUACGCUUAGGAUGUUGACGAUCAGCUGAGCGCG